rnacentral:snRNA from 1 species
GCCUCUAAGUCAGAAUCCGG